CGUCCUGGGCCCGGUUCUGUUCAACAUCUUUAUUAACGACUUAGACGAAGGGUUAGAAGGUACGAUCAUCAAGUUUGCAGACGACACAAAACUGGGAGGGAUAGCUAACACUCCAGAAGACAGGAGCAGAAUUCAAAACGAUCUUGACAGACUAGAGAGAUGGGCCAAAACUAACAAAAUGAAGUUCAACAGGGACAAAUGCAAGAUACUUCACUUCGGCAGAAAAAAUGGAAAUCAAAGAUACAGAAUGGGGGACGCCUGGCUUGACAGCAGUGUGUGCGAAAAAGACCUUGGAGUCCUCGUGGACAACAAGUUAAACAUGAGCCAACAAUGUGAUGCGGCUGCUAAAAAAGCCAAUGGGAUUCUGGCCUGCAUCAAUAGGGGAAUAGUGUCUAGAUCCAGGGAAGUUAUGCUCCCCCUCUAUUCUGCCUUGGUCAGACCACACCUGGAAUACUGUGUCCAAUUUUGGGCACCACAGUUGAAGGGAGAUGUUGACAAGCUGGAAAGCGUCCAGAGGAGGGCGACUAAAAUGAUUAAGGGUCUGGAGAACAAGCCCUAUGAGGAGCGGCUUAAAGAGCUGGGCAUGUUUAGCCUGCAGAAGAGAAGGCUGAGAGGAGACAUGAUAGCCAUGUACAAAUACGUGAAGGGAAGUCAUAGGGAAGAGGGAGCAAGCUUGUUUUCUGCUGCCCUGCAGACUAGGACACGGAACAAUGGCUUCAAACUACAGGAAAGGAGAUUCCACUUGAACAUCAGGAAGAACUUCCUCACUGUGAGGGCUGUUCGACAGUGGAACUCUCUCCCCGGGGCCGUGGUGGACGCUCCUUCCUUGGAGGCUUUUAAGCAGAGGCUGGAUGGCCAUCUGUCGGGGGUGCUUUGAAUGCGAUUUCCUGCUUCUUAGCAGGGGGUUGGACUAGAUGGCCCAUGUGGUCUCUUCCAACUCUACUAUUCUAUGAUUCUAUGAAAAACCACACCAAUAAAAUGUAUGUUAAAUCCACAAGUUAAAAUUGACUGCGUAGGGUUGCCAGAAGAGAUAGGUCUUGAAUUCUCACAGCUCAUUUAGCUGUUGGAUCUCUUCCAGCAGGUCAUUCCACAGUCUUGUGGUGUCCGAUUAAAAGUUCCUCUGGGUAGUGGUUGCCUGUUGGGUUCUCUGGAAGAGUGCCCUCCCCUUGAGGACCUAAGUGUGCAAGGCAAAUUGGGAAAAGGCAAUCCUGUAGGUAAUCUGGACCCAAACCAUGUAGUGCUUUAAAGGUCAAACUAAUUAGCAGUGGAGUGGCUUUAACAUGGGUGUAAUAUGCUCACUCCAAGAUAUUCCUGUAACCAAUCUAGCUGCCAUGUAUUGAACUAAUUGGAGUUCCUAAACUUGGUACAGAGAUAGCUCAAUGUAAAGCACAUUGCAGACCCAACCUUGAGGUUGCCAGUGCAUGAUAUAUAUCUUUAUAUUCUAGGAAGGAACACAAAUGGCGUAUCACCCGAAGUUGGUAGUAAGCACUCCUGGUUGUUGCAUCUACCUGAGAUGACAUUUGGAGAGAUGGAUCCAUGAGCAUUCCCAAGUUGUGAACACAGGGGGGGGGGGGGGAAUGAAACCCAAUCCAGAAACUGGCUGACACAUCUCCACCCCUAGGUUAGGACCCUUAAUAGCAAACACCUCUGUCUUGUCUGGAUUCAGUUUCAAUUUGUAUUUCUUCAUCCAACCCACUACUUUCUCCAGGCAUUCAGAGAUGUUCUCUCAAGUAAAAAAAAUUAAAUAGGAUUUUUAGUUCACAUUCACUGGGUCCUUGGUCCUAACCCUAGCAGAUGUGGAGGGCUGAGUGUAUUAAUAUUUUACCAACAGCAAGGGCACUUCCCUAAUAAGGCUGCAAUGUGAUUGCAUAUGAUUCAUACCACUGAGUGUCUUCAGAUGUUUACUUCCUGUUGUGUAUAUCCAGUCAGCCUUCAUAGUAACUCUCUUGGUCACAUUUCCAACCAGAGAACCAUCUGCCCAUCUGCAUUUGCCCUGUAAACCUGUCUUGUGAUAUUUGAUUACUCUUCCUUCAUAAAGCAAAUUCUAUACUGUGUGUAACAUGGCCUUCUGUUGAAAGAAGGAUCAUAAUAGUAGCCACAGGACAUCAUCAAGUUUCUAGAAUAAAGAUUCAAUUAUAUGUUAUGUUAUCUGGUCUUUUAAGUACUGUGUGACUACAGGUUAAGAAUAGAGUAGGUUGAAUAGAAUAUAAAGAAAUGUGGAUCUUAAUUCCUUAUGUGCAAAAACAAAAGACCUUUUAUAUUACAGAUAAACAAGAGACACAUGCCACACUUGAUCUGGUACUUUUUUCUGUUUUGGGAAACUAUUCCAAUUAGAAUCAAACAAUGUUUUAAUAUAUUUCUGGGAUGGUCUCUAAACAUUAUACUAAAAUGUAUAGCAUUGAAAUGAGUUGUGAAUCUAAAACAAACUUGAUAACUCAAAUAACUUUUAUUCCUAAUGAAUAGUUGAUAAAUUCACUGUGUGUGUUACAUUCCCUGCCAAGGAAACCCACUGAGUAACCUUGGGCAAGUCAUACUCUUUCAGUUUCAGAGUAAGGCAAGGAUAAACCUCAGAACAAACUCUGCCAAGAAAACCCAGUGAUAGGUUGACCUUAGGGUGCCAUAAAUCAGAAACAGUUUGAAGGCACAUGACAGCAGCUUAAAAGAAAGAAUGUACAAUUUGUUCAGCAUGUAGCUGGGUUGUAGUUGUAACAAAGCAGAGGGACUUCUUUGUUGUAUCAGGAACAGAUAAUGAGCUGUGCCAUGAAGAAUAUUGAAUGCAGCCUACAUCUACAUAAAUGUUAUACUACUUUGCUAUUUUAAUUAGUCCCAUCAGUUGAAGUUCUAUAAAUGUGGGUUUCACAUACCUUUAAAAAUGUCCUCACUUAGAAGAUUACUGCUUACAGGACAGCUACUUACUGUCAUUGUGACAGGCGACAUCACACAGCUGCUGGCAUUGCACAAUUGCCUUGGCAAUGCAAAGCCAUACCUCAGUAUAGGCACAUAAUUCCGCCCUCCUGCUGUGCCACUCCCCCCUCCCUUUUUGGGUUUUUUCUUUGCUUUUUAUUUUAUGGUACUUAGCAAUUGCAAAGUGCUUUGCCUUUAAACAAAUGUAAACCAUUCUUCAUGGAAGAGGAGCAGAUGCCACCACAGAAGCCAGUGAACCUCAUUGCACAAGAUGGUCCAGGUUCUGACAUCUUUGCAUAAAACUAUCAGCAGAAAUAUAACACCAGAAUAAAUCUGUGAGAGUGAACAGACAAGGCCUUAAACAAAGCUCACUAAAAAGAAGUCUUCCUGGGUUCACUAAAAGCAAAAGCCAUCAAGACAUGUGAACAGAAGAUCACAUUGUAAGAAAUAAAGAACAGUACCAAGCUGUAAAUUCUUCCUUUGAAGAGACCUGGGCCUUGCAAAAGGAAGCACAGGAUGGAUUGCAGAGGCCCUAAGAAGAAAUGAAUCAUCCAGGCCUCUCUCCAUCUUGGGAUGCCUACUACUUAAAAAUGGUCCUGCAGGCUACAGACAGAUUGUAAUUAGCUGAAAUGAAUAAAACCUUUUUAAAAGCAAAA